UCGAACGGUGAAGCAGAGCUUGCUCUGUGGAUCAGUGGCGAACGGGUGAGUAACACGUGAGCAAUCUGCCCCUGACUCUGGGAUAAGCGCUGGAAACGGCGUCUAAUACCGGAUACGAGCUGCGACCGCAUGGUCAGUAGCUGGAAAGAAUUUCGGUCAGGGAUGAGCUCGCGGCCUAUCAGCUUGUUGGUGAGGUAAUGGCUCACCAAGGCGUCGACGGGUAGCCGGCCUGAGAGGGUGACCGGCCACACUGGGACUGAGACACGGCCCAGACUCCUACGGGAGGCAGCAGUGGGGAAUAUUGCACAAUGGGCGAAAGCCUGAUGCAGCAACGCCGCGUGAGGGAUGACGGCCUUCGGGUUGUAAACCUCUUUUAGCAGGGAAGAAGCGAAAGUGACGGUACCUGCAGAAAAAGCGCCGGCUAACUACGUGC
rnacentral:rRNA from 1 species